rnacentral:rRNA from 1 species
CCUACGGGAGGCAGCAGUAGGGAAUAUUGGGCAAUGGGCGAAAGCCUGACCCAGCCACGCCGCGUGCAGGAAGACGGCCCUCUGGGUUGUAAACUGCUUUUGACUGGGAAGAAAGAAGCUCAUGCGUGAGAAGUUGACGGUACCAGUCGAAUAAGCCACGGCUAACUACGUGCCAGCAGCCGCGGUAAUACGUAGGUGGCAAGCGUUAUCCGGAUUUAUUGGGUUUAAAGGGAGCGUAGGCGGCUUAAUAAGUCAGUGGUUAAAGGUAGCAGCUUAACUGUUUUACAUGCCACUGAUACUGUUGAGCUUGAGUUGACAGAAGGCAGAUAGAAUUUCUGGUGUAGCGGUGAAAUGCUUAGAUACCAGAAGGAAUACCGAUUGCGAAGGCAGUCUGCUGCAGUCACACUGACGCUGAGGCUCGAAGGUGCGGGGAUCAAACAGGAUUAGAUACCCUGGUAGUCCGCACAGUAAACGAUGAUUACUAGAUGUUGGCCAAGCCAGUGUCCAAGGGAAACCGAUAAGUAAUCCACCUGGGGAGUAACGCCGGCAACGGUUGAAACGUUCAAAUGAAUUGACGGACUUGAGACGNGCGACGGACGACGACGAGGGAGGAGG